UACCGGCUAAUGGGGUGACGAUGGAGCUUGCCCACGGUGCAUGUCAGGUUCGCGGCGUAGCGCCAGCGCCGGUGAACAAUUACGCGCACACCAAUUGGUGUCCGUGCUUGUGUAGACCUAACGCACGAGCAGCGUGCUAUGACAAAUUCCCGUGAUGCUCUCUCCAAGCCCCCGCUACGAUGGGGCACUCAUCGGCCGCGGCAGAUCUUCCCCCGACUCUUUGUUCUCGCGGCAACUGUGAUGAGUUUGCUACGAUGGUUUCGGGUACGGCUUGGCGUGGCUAUUGGUACAGGGCGAGAUGACACCAGGGCAUGGG
rnacentral:lncRNA from 7 species